AUUGAACGCUGGCGGCAGGCCUAACACAUGCAAGUCGAGCGAGCGGCGGACGGGUGAGUAAUGUCUGGGAAACUGCCUGAUGGAGGGGGAUAACUACUGGAAACGGUAGCUAAUACCGCAUACCAUCAGAUGUGCCCAGAUGGGAUUAGCUAGUAGGUGGGGUAACGGCUCACCUAGGCGACGAUCCCUAGCUGGUCUGAGAGGAGGACCCGCCACCCUGGAACUGGGCCACGGUCCAGACUCCUACGGGAGGCAGCAGUGGGGAAUAUUGCACAAUGGGCGCAAGCCUUAUACAGCCAUGCCGCUUGUAUGAAGAAGGCCUGCUGGUUGUAAAGUACUUUCAGCGGGGAGGCGUUACCCGCAGAAGAAGCACCGGCUAACUCCGUGCCAGCAGCCGCGGUAAUUC
rnacentral:rRNA from 1 species